GAUGAACGCCAGCGGGAGGCCUAACACAUGCAAGCCGAGCGGUAUUUGUCUUUCGGGACAGAGAGAGCGGCGUACGGGUGCGGAACACGUGUGCAACCUGCCUUUAUCAGGGGGAUAACCUUUCGAAAGGAAGAUUAAUACCCCAUAAUAUAUUAGAUUGCAUCAUUUGAUAGUGAAAACUCCGGUGGAUAGAGAUGGGCACGCGCAAGAUUAGCUAGUUGGUAGGGUAACGGCCUACAAAGUCAGUGAUCUUUAGGGGGCCUGAGAGGGUGAUCCCCCACACUGGUACUGAGACACGGACCAGACUCCUACGGGAGGCAGCAGUUAGGAAUAUUGGACAAUGGGUUAGCGCCUGAUCCAGCCAUCCCGCGUGAAGGACGACUGCCCUAUGGGUUGUAAACUUCUUUUGUACAAAGAUAAACCUUUCCACGUGUGGAAAGCUGAAGGUACUGUACGAAUAAGCACCGGCUAACUCCGUGCCAGCCGCCGCGGUAA
rnacentral:rRNA from 1 species